AUCUUCCGCAAUGGGCGAAAGCCUGACGGAGCAACGCCGCGAGAGUGAUGAAGGGUUUCGGCUCGUAAAACUCUGUUAUUAGGGAAGAACAAAUGUGUAAGUAACCGUGCACAUCUUGACGGUACCUAAUCAGAAAGCCACGGUCAACUACGUGCAAGCAGACGCGGUAAUACGUAGGUGGAAAGCGUUAUCCGGAAUUAGUGGGCGUAAAGCGCGCGUAGGCGGUUUCUUAAGUCUGAUGUGAAAGCCCACGGCUCAACCGUGGAGGGUCAUUGGAAACUGGGAAACUUGAGUGCAGAAGAGGAAAGUGGAAUUCCAUGUGUAGCGGUGAAAUGCGCAGAGAUAUGGAGGAACACCAGUGGCGAAGGCGACUUUCUGGUCUGUAACUGACGCUGAUGUGCGAAAGCGUGGGGAUCAAACA
rnacentral:rRNA from 1 species